GAAGUUAUACUGCCAUCACUCCGCCCCAAAUUUUUUCAACACCAUCAUAGAUACUUUUUGCGUAAAUCUAGGUUUUAUGUAUGUUGAGAAGAGCCAAAGUCAGGCACAUUGAAUCUCGGAUUCAGGGUCACUGUCAGGAUGUGUCAAAACUUCAAACACGCCCGUACGCAUCAUUUUAAUCAAACCGUUGCCAAUCACGACAUUUGAGUCUGCAGCCAUUGAAGUCAGACCCAAAGGAGACGAUGUCAUGCCCCACUGUAAGCAGGGAUACGGCCUGGAUCAGCUCAUCGCGGCUGUGUCAUGGAGGUGGCCUGAGCCGCACACCAAAAGGGUGUAAAACGGAGGCUUUGGGAAAGCACAGAUUCACUGGAUCCAUUAUUACUGACAGCUUUACCCCAAGUUCCCAUGAGCCCAAAACCAUGUGACGCUCUGGGACUUAGGAUAUUAACAUGUAAAUCCAGGAACCUCAUAUAUUGUCCAAAAAAAGCUCGGUUUUUGUAGAAUGUAUUAUACAAAAUAAAACAAGACCUCAUGUACGUCCAAGCUACUAUUUCCCGCAAAUAUUUCAUCUGAGAGCACAGAUAUAUUACUGAAAUUUAUUUCUGAUUUCGUCGUGGCAGAUAAAAUCGCCAGAAAAGUUGUUCCAGUUGGAUCUGGAGAGUUUUAGCACUACGCACGGUGCUGAAGGACCUGAAGGUCCAAUACGAACCUCUUCCGACCCCCAUCCCAUCUCCAUGGAAACGCUAAUAUUUUCAUCCUGCUGGUCUCCUUGCAUUGCUAGAGAGAUGCCAGAUCUCUGUUGUUUUUGGAGUCGGGCCUGGUUUGGCCUGAAAAGGAGCAGAGUCUUGAGCCAUAACAGAGAACACUUGGAAAUUCCUGGAGCGAAGUGAAGGGGAAUGAAUGCUGACGCUUUUCGUGUGGUUUUUUGAAAUCUGUGCACAUUGUUUAAGAUCCCGAGGUGAACAUCGCCCCGUGGAUGUGCAGCUUUGCUUUGCCUGGCAGAUCCCGAGGUGAACAUCGCCCCGUGGAUGUGCAGCUUUGCUUUGCCUGGCAGAUCUCGAGGUGAACAUCGCCCCGUGGAUGUGCAGCUUUGCUUUGCCUGGCAGAUCCCGAGGUGAACAUCGGCCCGUGGAUGUGCAGCUUUGCUUUGCUUGGCAGAUCCCGAGGUGAACAUCAGCCCGUGGAUGUGCAGCUUUCUUUUGCCUGGCAGAUCCCGAGGUGAACAUCGCCCCAUGGAUGUGCAGCCUCUGGUCCUCCGGUUUCCUGAAACGUUCUCCGGGCAGACAAAUUAGGUGAGGUUCUCGCUGAGCUAAUUAUGGAGGAAUUUGGGUGUAUGGGUGCUCUCCAAAUCAGUCUCUAUGAAGUCGCGUCAUGUGGCACUGGUGGUGGGGGUUUACAGGGACAAAGGAAUCUUUAUGAGCAGAAACUACAGAAAUAACACAGUCCUGUUGGAAUAAAAGCUGGUGUCUGGAGCCUCUAUACUGACUAGCUUUGUGCCUUCUAUAUGCCAGUAGCCCACAGCUCACAUGGUGCUUACAUUUGCUCGUGGAAACACCCCCCCCCCCCCCACAGGUCCACCCUUUCCUGGCGUCUCCAUGUACAACUGACAUCAUUUCGCUUUCCUUUAACAAACAUACCACACAGCACAACAUUGUUUUCGCUGCCUCCCGCCAUUUGCCUCGAAUGCUCCAGCGAGGGGGCAAUUUAAAACAUUUAUGUAAAUGGUCUGGCACACGUCGGAAUGUUCUGUCAAAUGGGCCGUACAAGAAUGGCAGUAAGAGCCGUACCUGUGGGAGAACUGGUAUUACUACGGCAAGAAUUUCCAUUCUGGGGGGAGAACUGGUAUUCGCAAGAAUUUACAUCUUGCCCGGUUUUAGAUGGCAUCUCGAAUACAGCCACAAAAUAACACCAAAUAUUGCUCUGAUUAUGACGUCUUUUCCUCAGGAGCUGAGUUGCAGCCAAACCACCUAAGAAGUGAAAUCAAGGUUUUUUAGAUUGACUGUUCUUUUUUUUUGGGGGGGGGGUUACCGGCAGGUGCAAAGCGUUCCUCUGUCAUCUUUGACAGCCACGGCAGACACUGUGGGUUUACACCAAACCUCCAGAGAAAUAAAAACCUUCUAGGAGCCUUGUCUUCUGGCAGAGCUUCACCAGCCACAUCGCUAUCCAGGCAUCCCAAACAGGGACGAGAUCACUCUGGAAUGGCUUGCAUGCUGUAGCAGUUACACACUUAACAAAUUUCUCUUCUGCUGGAUUCUGGACAUUCUGCUACUUGACAUCUAGAGAAUGUAGCCAGGAGGAACUCGAACGUCGUCGUAAAGCAUGACAGCCAAGAAAGCGCAUUGCAAGUGUCUGCUUUUUAUAUAAAAGGAAUGAGCCAUUAAACAGAUAUUUUAAAAGUU